UACGUAGGGUGCGAGCGUUAAUCGGAAUUACUGGGCGUAAAGCGUGCGCAGGCGGUUCGUUGUGUCGGCGGUGAAAGCCCCGGGCUUAACCUGGGAAUGGCCGUUGAAACUGGCGAACUGGAGUGUGGCAGAGGGGGGUGGAAUUCCGCGUGUAGCAGUGAAAUGCGUAGAGAUGUGGAAGAACACCGAUGGCGAAGGCAGCCCCCUGGGAUGAGACUGACGCUCAUGUACGAAAGCGUGGGGAGCAAACAGG
rnacentral:rRNA from 1 species